rnacentral:tRNA from 1 species
GGGCCCGUAGCUCAGCGGUUAGAGCAGUCGGCUCAUAACUGAUUGGUCGUAGGUUCGAAUCCUACCGGGCCCACCA